CUCUGCCUGAGUGCACUUGUGAACUUCAGAAUUUUGAAGCUCUGUCUCCUGACAUCACAGAUAGACAGCACUGAACUUGGCAGGAAAAUCAGUAGGAAUAAGUGGCAGAGGCAUGGGACUGGCAGAGAUACGGCAGCCCCUGUGGAGAGGCUGUCUACAGAUAACAUAACAAUAACCACAGGAUCUGCGGGGUUCCUGCAUGCGUGUUGGCUUCACUGGAGAAACUAAUCAAGUGGGGUCUGAGUCAUUCAAGUUAUAGUCUAUUUGAAGACGAGUUGAAUCUGAAACAAUGAGUAAGAUGAUGAGAGCUCGAUACUUAUGGUUUAAAUAUAAAAGGGGUAUCCCAACUCAGAAAGAGAGAGGAGAUCUGGAAAAAUCCUGCUUUCUGAAGCUUUUGACGGUAUUUUCACACUGCCUGACUAAAGUGCAACAGCUACAUAUUGACAGGCGGUGGAAGGGUUCUGGGUAUUCCAUAUUUUACUUUAAGAUUUAGUCUUCUGUCAAUAAAGCAAUAAUUUCAGAUCAAUUU
rnacentral:lncRNA from 1 species